GCCAGGCGCCGUGGUGCACACCUGUAAUCCCAGUGACUUGGGAGGCUGAGGCAGGAGAAUCACAAGUACAAGGCCAGCCUCAGCAACCUAGAGAGGCCCUAAGCAAGUUAGUGAGACCCUGUCUCAA
rnacentral:sRNA from 1 species